rnacentral:rRNA from 1 species
GUUAGGAAUAUUGGACAAUGGGCGAAAGUCUGAUCCAGCCAUGCCGCGUGAACGAUGAAGGCCUUCGGGUUGUAAAGUUCUUUAGCCGAUGAUUAUAAUGACUGUAGUCGGAAAAUAAGCCCCGGCUAACUUCGUGCCAGCAGCCGCGGUAAUACGAAGGGGGCGAGCGUUAUUCGGAAUCACUGGGCGUAAAGCGUGCGUAGGCGGUUUUGUAAGUUAGGAGUGAAAGCCCAGGGCUCAACCUUGGAAUUGCUCUUAAAACUGCAAGGCUCGAAUCUCGGAGAGGAUAGCGGAAUUUCCAGUGUAGCAGUGAAAUGCGUAGAUAUUGGAAGGAACACCAGUGGCGUAAGCGGCUAUCUGGACGAGUAUUGACGCUGAGGCACGAAAGCGUGGGGAUCAAACAGGAUUAGAUACCCUAGUAGUCC